UGUAUGAACGGGCGGCUGGGCGGGCAGGAGGCUGGGCCGGGGGAGGGCCGGGUGGUCCCGCUCCCCCGCCCCCGCCCCGCCGGCCUCGCCGAGCACAAGUGUUGGGAUUCCCACGGACCGGCGUGCUCUGCGGCUGGAGGCCGGGGCGCCGGGGCCCGGGAGACUUGGAGGACACAGAGGGGUUUGUAGACACGGUGACCUCCGCGCUCCAGCUCUGAAAGGGCCUGAAAGGAGACGUUUAUGGUGCAUUACCAGUCAAGGGCUCAGGGCUGGUGAGAAUGAGAGGGAAAUGCCAGCCUCUACCGGACACCUGCCCUCAAGGUCCUGGUGUCUGUCUAACAGUGGCUCAGAGAGGGACACUGCAGGAGAGAUGGAGGAAGACUGCUUGGAGGCCCCUGCCGGUGCUGAGGGCUUGCUCUGCCCCUACACCACUUUUUGCUGGACCGUGUAACAACAUUUCGUCCCAUGUCAUCCUUUUUCAACUGCACAUCACGCAAAAAUCAGUUACAGAAGGAACCUACCUUGUAUCUACCUGUCCCUGCCAGCCCAUGCUGAUUCCACCUACUGAAGGGUACUUGUUGAAAAUGGCACAAGCUAAUAUCCAUUUCAUGAAGACAUCAUGAACGCCAACAUUUUUCUUUUUUACAAAAUAAGUUCAUUAACAUUUUUAAAAACUUCCUGAGUGUAUGUUCACAAAAAUCAAAAGAAGUAAAAGAGUUAUACAAUGAAAAAUUCUAUG